AAUGAACGCUGGCGGCAGGCCUAACACAUGCAAGUCGAACGAGGUCUUCGGACCUAGUGGCGGACGGGUGAGUAACGCGUGGGAACGUACCCUUUGGUUCGGAAUAGCCCCUGGAAACGGGGAGUAAUACCGGAUGAGCUCGCAAGAGGAAAGAUUUAUCGCCAAAGGAUCGGCCCGCGUUGGAUUAGGUAGUUGGUGGGGUAAUGGCCUACCAAGCCGACGAUCCAUAGCUGGUUUGAGAGGAGGAUCAGCCACACUGGGACUGAGACACGGCCCAGACUCCUACGGGAGGCAGCAGUGGGGAAUCUAGACAAUGGGGGCAAUCCUGAUCUAGCCAUGCCGCGUGAUCGAUGAAGACCUUAGGGUUGUAAAGAUCUUUCAGUUGGGAAGAUAAUGACGGUACCAACAGAAGAAGCCCCGGCUAACUCCGUGCC
rnacentral:rRNA from 1 species